GACGCGCGUUGAGUUUAUGAAGCUCAAAAACAGAGUUAACAGCAACAGAUUCAGUUUCCGGUGAACGGAGUUCAAACAUAGAAGCAUCAAGAUCAGCAAGACUAUUAGCAACAAAACCACGAUAUUCAAACUGAACAUGAAUCGUUUGAGCAAACUGAGCAAGUCUCCAACCAACUUGUUGAAGAUGAUACGUAGUAGUAAGAAGAAGAGUUGUUUGAUGAGAGCCAUAAAGGAAGAGCGAUACGGCUACGGCGACGAAGCUCUUCUAAGAGAUAAUGCUGGUGCUAGACUUGUGAGUUCUUAAGGAAUUUUUUUAAUGGCAACUUGAUGAAUGUCUUUGAAUUUUGGUGGAAAUAGAAUGUUAGAUGCAGUGUCAUAGGUUGACCCUAGUAAUGCAUAUUAGGUGUUUAAAUUGCUGUUACUUGGGUUGACAAUUUGUUUUUGACAACUAGACAAGACUUUCCUUGCUACUU